rnacentral:rRNA from 1 species
GUCCAGCCUGCCCAGUGAAGCAUUAAACGGCCGCGGUACCAUAACCGUGCAAAGGUAGCGCAAUCACCUGUCCCUUAAUUGAGGACUAGUAUGAACGGCUAAAUGAGGGCACGACUGUCUCUUGCAGCCAAUCAAUGAACUUGAUCUUCCAGUACAAAAGCUGAAAUAUACUCACAAGACGAGAAGACCCUGUGGAACUUUAAACCAACAUACUACUUAGACCAAAUAAACCCGGAUUAAACUAGUGUGUAUUUUUAGUUGGGGCAACUACGGAACAAAAUAAAACCUCCAUGCUAUAACGCCUAUAAAGUGCACGCCACAGGCCCCCACGCCAUACACCAAACAACUGACCCAGCACAGCUGAUCAUCGAACCAAGCUACCCCAGGGAUAACAGCGCCAUCCCUCCCAAGAGCCCACAUUGCCGGAGGGGUUUACGACCUCGAUGUUGGAUCAGGACUUCCCGGCGGCGCAGCCGCUGCCAAAGGUUCGUUCGUUCAACGAUUAAUGUCCU